rnacentral:rRNA from 1 species
GAUGAACGCUGGCGGCGUGCUUAACACAUGCAAGUCGAACGGUAAGGCCCUUCGGGGUACACGAGUGGCGAACGGGUGAGUAACACGUGGGUGAUCUGCCCUGCACUUCGGGAUAAGCCUGGGAAACUGGGUCUAAUACCGGAUAGGACCACUGCCUGCAUGGGUGGUGGUGGAAAGCUUUUGCGGUGUGGGAUGGGCCCGCGGCCUAUCAGCUUGUUGGUGGGGUGAUGGCCUACCAAGGCGACGACGGGUAGCCGGCCUGAGAGGGUGACCGGCCACACGGGGACUGGGAUACGGCCCAGACUCCUACGGGAGGCAGCAGUGGGGAAUAUUGCACAAUGGGCGCAAGCCUGAUGCAGCGACGCCGCGUGAGGGAUGACGGCCUUCGGGUUGUAAACCUCUUUCAGCACCGACGAAGCGCAAGUGACGGUAGGUGCAGAAGAAGGACCGGCCAACUACGUGCCAGCCGCCGCGGUAA